AAGACUAUACUUCAUUUGUGAUUUGAGAAAUGUGUUUCUAAAGUGUACGAUCUCACUACCCAUAAUGAAGAGCUGUUGAUACUUCUUUCUGAGCAUGAAGUAAACAGAGAAACCUGGUUUGUGCCUCAUGCUCUCUGUGCUUGAUGACUGUUCACUGUUUUCUCUGGAGGCAGUGAGGAAGGUAGAUCAUCUGAGUGGG
ensembl:snoRNA U3 Small nucleolar RNA U3